rnacentral:rRNA from 1 species
AUUGAACGCUGGCGGCAUGCCUUACACAUGCAAGUCGAACGGCAGCACGGGUGCUUGCACCUGGUGGCGAGUGGCGAACGGGUGAGUAAUACAUCGGAACAUGUCCUGUAGUGGGGGAUAGCCCGGCGAAAGCCGGAUUAAUACCGCAUACGAUCUACGGAUGAAAGCGGGGGACCUUCUGGCCUCGCGCUAUAGGGUUGGCCGAUGGCUGCUUAGCUAGUUGGUGGGGUAAAGGCCUACCAAGGCGACGAUCAGUAGCUGGUCUGAGAGGACGACCAGCCACACUGGGACUGAGACACGGCACAGACUCCUACGGGAGGCAGCAGUGGGGAAUUUUGGACAAUGGGCGAAAGCCUGAUCCAGCAAUGCCGCGUGUGUGAAGAAGGCCUUCGGGUUGUAAAGCACUUUUGUCCGGAAAGAAAUCCUUGGCCCUAAUACGGUCGGGGGAUGACGGUACCGGAAGAAUAAGCACCGGCUAACUACGUG